AUUGAACGCUGGCGGCAUGCUUUACACAUGCAAGUCGAACGGCAGCACGGGGGCGAACCCUCGGUGGCGAGUGGCGAACGGGUGAGUAACACAUCGGAACGUGUCCAGUUGUGGGGGAGUAACCCAUCGAAAGGUGGGCUAAUACCGCAUGAGCUGGCAACAGGAAAGCGGGGACCCGCAAGGCCUGUGCGAUUGGAGCGGCCGAUGUCCGAUUAGCUAGUUGGUGGGGUAAAGGCCUACCAAGGCUUCGAUCGGUAGCUGGUCUGAGAGGAUGAUCAGCCACACUGGGACUGAGACACGGCCCA
rnacentral:rRNA from 1 species